AGGCGUGAGGGCGCCAGCAGCGCCGUCACCACAAACUCCGGCAUGUCCUCGCGCUCUGGGACAACGACAGAGCCGUGGUCGGAGGACUGAACCGGCGGUGCCGGCUCCGGGAGCCCACCGCCUUUGUUUGGGGAUCCCACUGUGCUGUCGGGCGCUGCGGAACCCCCUGAGGAGACAGGUGAACGGCUCGGGCAGAGACUGCCACCGCACAUGACUCACUCCAAAGUGGCAGAUUAUGAACCUGAAAUUCCGGGAUGAGGUCAUUUUGCCUGAAGUUAUCUAUCAUCUAUCUGCCUUAGCAGCAAUCCAGGACAACAUGGAAGCAGCAACCUGUGUUUCAUCCAACACUGAGGCCACUGGCAAGCUUUCAAAUUUCUUCUGGCGGUUAUCUAGAGAAAUAUUAGGUAUUUAGAGAGAAGCACUUCUGUGGCUGCUUCUAUCAUUGUGGUAGUAUCGACUGAGCCUAGAGCUCUGCACAUGCAGGAUCAAUGCCUUAAUUAGUCAUCAUCAGAGAAGCUUCCUCCUGCAGCUCAUGGGAGCAGAUACAGAGACCCACAGCCAGAGAGAGUCCUUGGAACAUUUAGCACUAAGUGGGAGGUCUCCAUCAAAUCUUUCCCCUCAGAGCUCCGAGAACCCCAAGGAAGAGGAGGUGGAGUGGAAGAGCCAGAGAGAAUGGAAGGCACCAGGAGAACAAGGCCCUCUGAAUCAACUAAGCAAGGCUCAUAUGAAUUCACAGAGAAGGAAGCAGCAAGCACAGACCAGGUCCUCUGGGUAUAUAGCUUUCAUUCAGCUCAGUAUUUUAUUGGGACUUCUGAUUGUGUGAAGAAGUGGACUUUUUUUGUUUGUUUUUUGAGCCUGAGUAGCCUUGGCUGUCCCAGAACUUCCUUUGCAGACCAGGUUGGCCUUGAACUAACAGAUUCACCUGCCUCUGCCUCUCAAGUGCUGGGAUUAAAGACAUGUACCACCACAGCCCAGCUGGGUCUCUGAUUCUUGUGCCCACUCCUGGGGCUCUUUUCCUUCUGUUGACUUGCUUUGUCCAGACUCAAUCUUUUAGAAGCUUGUUCUUCUCUAAUGAGACAGAAAUGAAGUGGAUCCAGAGAGGGCAGGUAGGAUGAAACUGGGAUUAGUAGAGGGAGGGAAAACUAUAAUCAGGAACUCCCCCUUUUAUUGAAAAAUAACAUUUUCAAUAAAGGGGGGGGAACAAUUAUUACUAUUUAUUGGUUUUUGUUUUCAUGCUGACUCUUGCAGCCAUGUAGCUUAGGUUGGCCUGUGACUGGCCUCCCCUUCCGGCUUGAUGGGAUUACAGACAUAGGCCAUCUGUACCCAAAUUCUUGAGACAAGAUCUUAUAAACUGCUUAGGAUCCUCUUGUGUUUCAGCCUUCUGAG